GCUGGGUGUGGUAGCUCACGCCUGUAAUCCCAGCACUUUGGGAGGCUGAGGCGGGCGGAUUGCUUGAGCCCAGGAGUUUGAGACCAGCCUGGGCAACUGGGCAACAUAACUACACUUCAUCUCUACAAAAACUAAACAAAAAUUAGCUGGGUGUGGUGGCGCAUGCCUCUAGUCCCAGCUAACUCAGGAAACUGAGGUGGGAGGAUCACCUGAACCUGGGAAUUCGAGGCUGCAGUGAGCUAUGAUUGUGCCACAUCACUCCAGCCUGGGCAACAGAGCGAAACCCUGUCUCU
ensembl:misc_RNA Metazoa_SRP Metazoan signal recognition particle RNA